rnacentral:rRNA from 1 species
AGCGAACGCUGGCGGCAGGCUUAACACAUGCAAGUCGAACGGAUCCUUCGGGAUUAGUGGCGGACGGGUGAGUAACACGUGGGAACGUGCCUUUUGGUUCGGAACAACACAGGGAAACUUGUGCUAAUACCGAAUGUGCCCUUCGGGGGGAAAGAUUUAUCGCUAUUAGAUGAGCCCGCGUCGGAUUAGCUAGUAGGUAGGGUAAAGGCCUACCAAGGCGACGAUCCGUAACUGGUCUGUGAGGAUGAUCAGUCACACUGGAACUGAGACACGGUCCAGACUCCUACGGGAGGCAGCAGUGGGGAAUAUUGGACAAUGGGGGCAACCCUGAUCCAGCCAUGCCGCGUGUGUGAAGAAGGCCUUAGGGUUGUAAAACUCUUUACGCGCACGACGAUAAUGACGGUAGUGCGAGAAGAAGCUCCGGCUAACUUCGUGCCAGCAGCCGCGGUAAU